GAACGGGUGAGUAAUAUAUCGGAACGUACCUAGUAAUGGGGAAUAACUAAUCGAAAGAUUAGCUAAUACCGCAUACGACCUACGGGUGAAAGCAGGGGAUCGCAAGACCUUGCGCUUUAGGAGCGGCCGAUGCCUGAUUAGCUUGUUGGUGAGGUAAAAGCUCACCAAGCCGACGAUCUGUAGCUGGUCUGAGAGGACGACCAGCCACACUGGAACUGAGACACGGUCCAGACUCC
rnacentral:rRNA from 1 species